rnacentral:lncRNA from 1 species
UUCUUAAAUAUGAUAUAUAAAAAGUUAAAAAAAGUUUCUAAAAAGAAAAAUUAAUAUUUUCUGUGAAAUAGACUUAAAAAUAAAAUAAAUGCAACAUUACUUUUAUUUAUGUGACACAUUAUUACUGUUAUUGAUUUUAAUAAAAUUUUGUAAUUAUCAUUUAGAAAUCUUUUUGAGUAUACUUUAUUUAAAAUUUUGCAUGAACCAUGACCACAUAAAAUGAAAUGGAGAGAUCUAUAAAUUGGAGGUUAAUUAAGGUUGUUUUGCAUCCCACAUCAAAUAACACACACAAUGAUGAAGAGCCUUGUUCUCUUUGUGUCAAUAGCACUCUGUGUUCCCUUAGCUUUGUCAUCAACAUUUUCUUCAGAUCUUCUCCUUCCUUCUGAUGAAGUAGUUCCUAAUGGUAAAACAUAUGCUUCAGUAGUUGACAGUGAUGGAAAUCCAGUAAAAGCAGGUGCAAAAUACUUUGUGUUACCAUCUUUAAGGGGUAGUGGAGGUGGUCUUGUUUUGUCUAGAGUUGUUGACAAAAAUGUUAAAGUUUGUCCACAAGACAUUGUCCAAGAACCUCAGGAACUUAACACUGGACGUCCUGUGGAGUUCUUUCCAGCAUACCCUAAUAAAACUGGUGAAAUUAUUAAAGUUAACAACCCCAUAAAUGUUAACUUCUUUUCACUUAGUAAGACAUCACGUUGUGCUAAUUUUACUGUAUGGAAAAUGGACAAGAAAUAUAAAUAUGUGGUAGGUAGAGGGACUCUAGGGGCGCUGAAUCGCAUAAGGAAUUGGUUCAGGAUUGUGCCAUAUGGAAAGGGCUAUAGGUUUGUAUAUUGUCCUUCACUCUGUGUUCCUUGCAAAAUUAGGUGCUUUGACUUAUUCAUUUCUUAUGAGGAACGCGAAAAUGUUCAAGUUAGACGCUUGGCUGCCUCGGACAAUGAAUUGCCAUUUUCUGUUUACUUCAAGAAGGCUGAUUAAUCAUCCUCCCUAUUAUUAAUAUUAUUAUUAUUAUUAUUAUUAUUAUUAUUAUUAUUAUUGUUGUUGUUGUAAUAUUUUCUAGCUACUAGUUGUGAUACCUAUCUAUGUAUAUCAUGACUACGUGGCAAUAAUAAAGUUAAAGUCAUCUUUUUGGAUUGUUAUGUUCUAUCGUGCAAUUUGUUGCAAACAGUGCACUACAUAUAUUUUAUGUGUCUAACGAUUAUUAUGUAUGUUCAUCUCAUACUAUAUAGUGCACUACAUAUAUAACAAUAGUAGUGCUAUAUAUGUUUUUACUUCCUCAUUAGUUAAUUUUACUUGAUGUUUAAAAAUUAUAUACAGAAAAAAUAGUUUACUUAUUCACCCCUUAGAAAUAUCUUGAAAAUUUUACAAAUAAAUGUAAAAGCUUCAAAAAAUAAUUAAUUGUAAUAGUAAUAUAGAAAAAAAAUUAUUAAUGUUUUCUUCAUCAAGGUGAUUAACUAACAAGAAAAAAUUAUUUUUAAUAUGACCAUCAAUUAAUAUGUGAUCGAGAGAGUAUUAUAUUUCUAAAUCUUUAAUAUCCAUUAAGACAAACAACCAAAUUUGAUAUUUGCAAUCAUUAAAUAUAAUUAUUAAAAUAGGAAGAUAUAAUAGAGGACAUCAAUGAAAGAAAAUGAAUUUUAUCUAUAUAUCUAAUCACAUUACUAACACAAUGAUCCCACAACCUAAAUAUAAAUCUUAACUGCUCGUAGUUCUAAGGAUAGAAACAAUACCUAUGAAAGCUUAUAAAACUGCUAAAAGAAGAUGACAAAAAUAAAUAAAAGUUUUUUUUAUCCCUUUAAAGCUUACCAGCAUAAACGGUAACACCCCUCCCUUUUGGAGUGUUCAGGUGAUAAUUAUAACAGCGUGAUUAUAUUAAAAGAU